rnacentral:lncRNA from 1 species
GUUCCCAAACCGACAGAUGUUUUUAUCCUGUUUUUGCUAAUAAUCCAUCAUAAACCAGAAGUGGUCGAACAAUGGUGUUAUGGUUCUAUGUCUGAAAACAAAGAAAUGGGAUAAUCAAUUAAAAGGAAGAAGACGGGUCACAUGACUCAUUAAAGAAAGCUUUUAAUCUGAGCUAUUUGGUCAGAACAAAGGGUUGGAAUUGAUUUCUCUCAUAUUAAAAAGUCUUUUUACUUAUAUAUCUUCCAACAUAUCAAAUAAGAUGAGUUUUACAAUGACAUGAUGAUAGAGUUAGACAUUGACUACAAAACUAUACAUGAAU